AGAAAAGUAUUUAAAAAAUAAAAUCUAAUUUGCAAUUAGAAAUUGCAAUUUGCCUUUUCUA
rnacentral:tRNA from 1 species